CUCAGACCACACAAUUAUUGAAAUGGUUAGUUUGGGACAUUUUAAAGCUAGGAAUUAAGAAAUGAUUGGAGUGUUUGUAGCUUUCCAUAAUACCAAAGUCACAGGGGGUGGUUUGUCAAGUGGGUAAGAUGGAGCCUGUCAUUUACAGAGAUCUAGUCAGAAUGUAGGGAUGAGAUGGUGGUUUUCAUCUCAUUCUCUGCUGAGAAUACUGUUUCUCAUAAAACCAAACACGUGAUCUCACAAGUUUAGUACCUUCUGAUCAGAUUUAAUUUGGAGCACAUAUGCCCAACAUAUGUAACAUCAUCAAACAGUUACCUGAUGCUCUUCAAAACAGUGUGAACAAAGCAAUAACUUCAAGCUGCUUUUCCAUGGGAGCCUGAGGAGAACUCAUUCAAGAUGAAAGGAAGUGGAAUGCAUCUGAAAGAACAGCCAAAUUUUGAUGGCUUUUUCUUGCUGAUGAUAUGAGCAGUUAAAUCUUUUAAAGGGCAGUGUUGCUUUCCUUUUAGUCCUAUUGGUUGUACAACUCUUACCCAUCUUUUGUGAAUGUAUCAUAUUUAAUCGUUUGCCAAAACCCGUUUGUUUAAUUAAAUUCUUUUU
rnacentral:lncRNA from 14 species